GUGAUGUAACAUAAGGCAUUGAUUUUCCUCGUCGUAAGACAACAUGGAACACACUUGUGAUGUUGCGUAACGUUUUAUUGAUCUGUGUUUUUGAGUGGUGUCUUUCUUUUAAAUUGAAAUGUCCAAGCCAAUCACAGUGGUCUUUGAGAGCAAGAGCAUUCUGCCCAUCGGAUCCAUCAAAAUAUUCCUGCAUUCUGAACGAUCUGAUUGGGUCGUUUACUGAAGGUUGUGCAGUAGUCGAAUUUGAAAGAGG